rnacentral:rRNA from 1 species
AGUGAACGCUGGCGGUAGGCCUAACACAUGCAAGUCGAACGGCAGCACAGUAAGAGCUUGCUCUUACGGGUGGCGAGUGGCGGACGGGUGAGGAAUACAUCGGAAUCUACUUUUUCGUGGGGGAUAACGUAGGGAAACUUACGCUAAUACCGCAUACGACCUACGGGUGAAAGCAGGGGAUCUUCGGACCUUGCGCGAUUGAAUGAGCCGAUGUCGGAUUAGCUAGUUGGCUGGGUAAAGGCCCACCAAGGCGACGAUCCGUAGCUGGUCUGAGAGGAGGAUCGGCGACACGGGAACUGAGACACGGUCCAGACUCCUACGGGAGGCAGCAGUGGGGAAUAUUGGACAAUGGGCGCAAGCCUGAUCCAGCCAUCCCGCGUGGGUGAAGAAGGCCUUCGGGUUGGAAAGCCCUUUUGUUGGGAAAGAAAAGCAGCAGGUUAAUACCCCGCUGUUCUGACGGUACCCAAAGAAUAAGCACCGGCUAACUUCGUG